AUAUACACACACACACACACAUUCGAUAAAAUUGGAACGAUAUAGAGAAGAUUAGCAUGGGCCCUGCGCAUAUGAUACAUAAAUCGAGAAAUGGUCCAAAUUUUU